rnacentral:rRNA from 1 species
AUUGAACGCUGGCGGAAUGCUUUACACAUGCAAGUCGAACGGUAGAGGGGGCAACCCCUUGAGAGUGGCGAACGGGUGAGUAAUAUAUCGGAACGUGCCCAGUCGUGGGGGAUAACGUAGCGAAAGUUACGCUAAUACCGCAUACGAUCUAAGGAUGAAAGCGGGGGAUCGCAAGACCUCGCGCGACUGGAGCGGCCGAUAUCAGAUUAGGUAGUUGGUAGGGUAAAGGCCUACCAAGCCAACGAUCUGUAGCUGGUCUGAGAGGACGACCAGCCACACUGGAACUGAGACACGGUCCAGACUCCUACGGGAGGCAGCAGUGGGGAAUUUUGGACAAUGGGCGAAAGCCUGAUCCAGCCAUUCCGCGUGCAGGAUGAAGGCCCUCGGGCUGUAAACUGCUUUUGUACAGAACGAAAAGGUUUCUAUUAAUACUAGGAGCUCAUGACGGUACUGUAAGAAUAAGCACCGGCUAACUACGUG